UUUUUAUUUUUCUUUAUCUUUACAAUCCAUAAAUAAAUCAAAGGCAGUCACUUUCUUUGAAACCCGAAUGCCCAUAAACGAGAGAGAUCCGUUUAAUAACGGCAGAUCAAAUCAAAUUUAUAGUUAUGCCAUCAUCCCCCAAAUUCUUCCACUCCCGCCUUUCGCCGCCGGCCAAGCGCCUCACCAGAUCAACGCUCCUCAUCGUCUUCUCCGUCUUAUCUUUUAUCUUCGCCCUCUACACUUUAAUUUCCUCCGGUGGGUGCGGCCACCGUUGUCUCUCCAACGUAAGUACCGUUCGGGUUCUUUGGGAGCGAGCCGGGAAUGUGGAUAAAGUCGGUGCUGAUGCUGGAGGUGCUGAUGCUGGAAUCAGAAGGCAUAAAGUUAUGGGCUUUGUUGGGAUCCAAACCGGGUUCCGUUCAGCCGGCCGGAGACGGUCGUUGAGGAAGACUUGGAUGCCUUCGGAUCGCAAAGGCCUUCAACGGUUGGAAGAGUCAACAGGAUUAGCUUUUAGAUUUAUAAUUGGAAGAACAAAUGAUAAAUCAAAGAUGGAAGAGCUGGGAAAAGAAGUAGCAGAAUAUGAUGAUUUCAUUUUGUUAGAUAUUGAGGAGGAAUACAGUAAACUCCCACACAAAACGUUGGCAUUCUUUAAAGCUGCCUAUGCACUCUAUGAUUCUGACUUUUAUAUUAAAGCUGACGAUGACAUAUAUUUGAGGCCAGAUCGACUAUCACUUCUAAUAGCAAAAGAACGUUCUCACCCUCAGACUUACAUUGGAUGCAUGAAAAAGGGUCCAGUAUUUACCAAUCCUAAACUGAAAUGGUAUGAGCCACUAUCCCAUCUACUAGGCUCGGAGUACUUUCUUCAUGCCUAUGGUCCUAUAUAUGCUCUUUCUGCUGAUGUUGUUGCUAGUUUGGUUGCUCUGCGGAACAACAGUUUUCGAAUGUUUAGUAAUGAAGAUGUUACAAUUGGUGCAUGGAUGCUUGCGAUGAAUGUCAACCAUGAGCAUAACCGGAAUUUGUGUGAGACAUCAUGUUCGCAGACAUCUAUAGCUGUCUGGGAUCUCCCCAAAUGUUCAGGUUGGCGAUUAAAGCUGUAAUUUACACUAUCCCUGAGGAUUUUCGUGGCAUAAAUGGUUUAUAUUUGCCACAAAUUUUCAUAGUAUGUUUCGGUCAGUCAUAUGGCAGGUACACCAGGUGAUCCACGGAUGUUCAACAUUGACUAUGUAAUCCAGAGGCAAAGCUAUUGGAACUCCAUGAGCAACAAAUCUGCUCAAAUAGUUCAACGUUGCCAUCGGACGAUAAUUAGCUUUUCUCGGUCUAAAUUCACAUGGAUUUUUCUGAUCUGGACUAGGUGUUUCAGAGAACUGCUUACUCUGCAAGUUGAUCUUGCUGCCAUGGUAGACAUCUUUUUUGUCUUCUACAAAUGAUUUUAGUAACAUACAAAUCUUCUUUUCACCGAUGAUGUAAGUGGCCGAUAUGAUUUA